GCGGACCUACGGGGCCGCAUAACCUUUCAAACCCCACAUGGGUUUGAAGCUAAAACGGAAGACAGAAA
rnacentral:ncRNA from 1 species